rnacentral:lncRNA from 1 species
CUAGUUUGAGAGUCUACAUUCACAUUGGUGAGUCCCUGGAAAAUAUACGACGAGGACAGAUAGAGUUUCUUGAGGCUUAGAGCUCUCGCAGAAGCUGCAUGAAAGAUGAUUCUAGCUGGCUAUAGGGAUUUUCACUCAUGAGGUACUUCUCUUUGUGAUGAAGUUAUACUGAUUCAAGAAAAUUGAUUUGAUUUUCACUGCCACUUCUGAUUUAUUUGUGAUUUCAUCAAAUUUUCAUAAUCAAUAGAAUCAAAGAGGUCUUCAUGAUUGCCAUUUAUUUUAAACUUGUGAAAUUGUGAAUCCCAUUGUUUAUUUUAAACUUGUGAAAUUGUGAAAGAGGUCUUCAUGAUUGCCAUUUAUUUUAAACUUGUGAAAUUGUGAAUCCCAUUGCUUACAAGGUAAAUUACAAGGUAACGAACAGACAGAUGGAUAAGCCAAUACAUGGGAAAACUCCUGGUUGGAUUUUUAAGUCAUCAUGUGUCCUUACUCUUAUAAUCAUGCAUAUACUUCUGAAUCUGCUGCUUUCAUUUUUUGGAGUGUAAUUAUUAUUGCUCUUAACCUUGUGAUGAUCAAAAUGCCUUAUCGCCUUGUUUGUCUCCAUUUAGAUGACAAAUGCUGCAAAUGAGGCUUGUCAGACCUUUCAAUGAAAUAUAGCCUGAUCGAAUUGAGAGGCAUUCGUCUGAAGGGUUCUAAGUUGGCACAUCUGAAAUGCUUGAGUAGUAACUUUCCCACCAAUCCAUCAGAAGACUCCCUAUAGGGUGUGAAUCUUCUUAUCUGAACGGAAGAUGAUGUCAGGAGGGCAGCUGCCCCAACACUGAGUGGUGUAAGAGUUCAAAGCUUUUUGAACUUUGUGAUUUAUCAUUUUUUAAUUGGAUACAAAGUUGUCACAAUUUGCUCAAAUUCUAAGGAACUCUG